rnacentral:rRNA from 1 species
AACGAACGCUGGCGGCAGGCUUAACACAUGCAAGUCGAGCGGAGAUGAGGUGCUUGCACCUUAUCUUAGCGGCGGACGGGUGAGUAAUGCUUAGGAAUCUGCCUAUUAGUGGGGGACAACAUUCCGAAAGGAAUGCUAAUACCGCAUACGUCCUACGGGAGAAAGCAGGGGAUCUUCGGACCUUGCGCUAAUAGAUGAGCCUAAGUCGGAUUAGCUAGUUGGUGGGGUAAAGGCCUACCAAGGCGACGAUCUGUAGCGGGUCUGAGAGGAUGAUCCGCCACACGGGGACUGAUACACGGCCCAGACUCCUACGGGAGGCAGCAGUGGGGAAUAUUGGACAAGGGGGGGAACCCUGAUCCAGCCAUGCCGCGUGUGUGAAGAAGGCCUUAUGGUUGUAAAGCACUUUAAGCGAGGAGGAGGCUACUGAGACUAAUACUCUUGGAUAGUGGACGUUACUCGCAGAAUAAGCACCGGCUAACUCUGUGCCAGCCGCCGCCGUAACAC